rnacentral:rRNA from 1 species
UACAGAGGUCUCAAGCGUUGUUCGGAUUCAUUGGGCGUAAAGGGUGCGUAGGCGGCGCGGUAAGUCGGGUGUGAAAUCUCGGAGCUUAACUCCGAAACUGCAUUCGAUACUGCCGUGCUUGAGGACUGGAGAGGAGACUUGGAAUUUCGGUGUAGCGGAUGGAAAUGCGUAGAUAUCGUAAGGAAGACCAGUGGCGAAGGCGGGUCUCUGGACAGUUCCUGACGCUGAGGCACGAAGGUCAGGGGAGCAAACGGG